rnacentral:rRNA from 1 species
CAGUCGCCGCGGGAAUACGGAGGGUGCAAGCGUUAUCCGGAUUUAUUGGGUUUAAAGGGUCCGUAGGCGGAUCUGUAAGUCAGUGGUGAAAUCUCACAGCUUAACUGUGAAACUGCCAUUGAUACUGCAGGUCUUGAGUAAAUUUGAAGUGGCUGGAAUAAGUAGUGUAGCGGUGAAAUGCAUAGAUAUUACUUAGAACACCAAUUGCGAAGGCAGGUCACUAAGAUUUAACUGACGCUAAUGGACGAAAGCGUGGGGAGCGAACAGGAUUAGAUACCCCAGUAGUCCCUGUCUCUUAUAA